rfam:Stegodyphus mimosarum contig87835, whole genome shotgun sequence.
ACCUUCGUGGUGUAGCGGUCAGCACACUCGACGUGUAACAGAGAAGUCCGUGGUUCGAUUCCCGGCGAAGGCG